UACGUAGGGUGCGAGCGUUAAUCGGAAUUACUGGGCGUAAAGCGUGCGCAGGCGGUGGCUCAAGCCAGGCGUGAAAGCCCCGGGCUUAACCUGGGAAUGGCCGUUGAAACUGGCGAACUGGAGUGUGGCAGAGGGGGGUGGAAUUCCGCGUGUAGCAGUGAAAUGCGUAGAGAUGCGGAGGAACACCGAUGGCGAAGGCAGCCCCCUGGGCUGACACUGACGCUCAGGCACGAAAGCGUGGGGAGCAAACAGG
rnacentral:rRNA from 1 species